AACCAUAUAUAGAUGGAUAACAUUGGAGUUGAACUCCCAUCAUUCUAAUAGAUUUCCAGCUAUUCGGGGCACUUGUACGUAGGAUUUCUCCUCUUCCCCUUCCCCCUCCCGACAACGUUAAUUUCCUUGCUUUGCUCAGAGUUUGGUUGCUCUGUUUCUUCUCAAGUUUUACACAUGAGGCUAGAUUUUGAGUUCUUUGGUGAUUUUUUAAUUGCUUCAAUUGAAUUUGAAUACCUUGGUGUUUAUUUUUUUCUCUAGUGUUGGAAGCUAAUAUUUUUUCUUCAUACAAAUGUUUCGAUUAUGGGAGACACGGAAGAUCAGGAUCAGGAAUAUCGGAGUCAUUUUCUAUGUUAUUUCUUUAAUUUCUAUACCCGCAGAAGAUCAGGACAGUAAAAUAGUACUAGAUUGCCCACGUCAGUAUUAACUUGUUCUAUAUAUACAUAUAUAUCAUCAUGUUUUCUACGAACAAUUGGUCUUCAUCCUGAUCUAAUUAAUUUUCUGGGCUAGCUUGAUAGCGCGCAGGUACUGCAUCUUUCUCCAAUGUUCUAUUUAAUUCUCUCGCCUUCAUAUAUGUACGUAGAACACGUAUGCAGCAUGCUGAUCUUCCCCAUGUUUUCCUUGAAGCCCUUUAUUUUUGUUUUUUCUUUUGUUUUAAUUUGUAUCUUUUUUUUAGACGUGAACUUAAUCAGGGUUUUUGACUAAUUUUCUUGGGGGCGGGGGGGUACUUCGUUUUUUGCAGUGGUGGAGCUUGCCUGUACGUACGCUAUGGGGAAGGUUCAGAAAAACCCGAUGAGGUCCGAUACAGAAGCAUUCCCAUUAGGUCUACGGCGACUUACAAUUAGUUUCACUGAAUAUUUCAUUGUGGCUUCGUUCAUCGAACUUCUCCUUCUUCCUUUUCUGAGAAAAACAAUUCUAAGGGAGACUGAUGAAUACUUACUUCCACGGCAGUCUUUAAUCAACCAAUCCGAAAAAAUCCGGCUUGCCUACACUCUGCUCCUGCUUAUUAUUUUAAAGACCGCGUCUAUCAUACGGGAUUCAUUGGAAUGGUUCAAUAAGCGGUAUUUUAACUGGCUUACAUUAGCAGUUGUGUAUAGUCUCCUUCCUGAGCAGCGGAAGGACAUGAUCAUGAGAUGGGAUUUGUGGAAAUUCGUGAUAGGCUUUUCCUUCUGUCUUCCGACACUUUUCGUCAUCCACAGUAUUGUUUAUUAUCUCCAUCGAUACCUUUCCAAGAGUAGUGAGAGUCCAAAGUCUCCGAACAUGCAGAACAUUCUCGGGCAUUCUGCAGACUUCGGUUUGCUCUUCGCUAUUGAGGAUCGUUUUAUAAGUCAACGGAUACAAACAAUUAACAUCGGACUUGUCGGAAUUGUCCCGUCAUUCGUCGGACGUUUAUGCUUUAUUUCCAUUGCGUUAUAUUCUAUCCGCAUGGAAAUAUCAUUGUACUGGGCAAGAUCAUAUUCGAAGCCCGAUUUUAAAAAACAUGGUUCGCUGGUAUUCUGGAAUAUCAACUGACCUAUACAAAACUAUAUAUGACCUCAUGGUGUCAGUAAAUAUCUUCCAAGGUCGCUUUGACUUGCGCAUUUUGCAGGCAGCUAUGAAUCAAUCCCAAAAUGGAGCUGAUCAAGAGAAUUUGUUGCAUGAUUUUAGUGGCAAUGAAGAGUUGUGGCUUGACUUCGUGGCUGAUACUGGUGAUGGUGGGAGUUCAACAUAUACAGUGGCACGGCUGAUUGCUGAGCCUCACAUUUGUUUUGCUAGCCGCAUCUUAAAACGCGGAGACUUGCUACUCAUUGGAGGGGAUCUUGCGUAUCCUAAUCCGUCAAAGUCUACAUAUGAACAGCGCCUCCUUCGCCCUUUCGAGUAUGCUUUUGGACCGCCUGUCAAUUGUGAGGAGGAUCAUCGUGAUGGACCUCAAUGUUUCGUUAUUCCCGGAAAUCAUGAUUGGAUUGAUGGACUUCGUACCUUUACAAAGUAUAUAUGCGAGAAGAGGUGGUUGGGCGGGUGGUUUAUGCCUCAAAAGACGACUUAUUUCGCUUUGAAACUUCCUCAAAGAUGGUGGAUAUUUGGUUUUGAUCUUGCACUAGAUGGUGAUAUCGAUACCUACCAAUUCCAAUUCUUUUCAAAAAUCGCAAGGGAAAUGAUCGAAAACAAUGAUUGUGUGAUCGUUAUGACGCACCAACCAGACUGGCUUGUUGAUUGGUAUGAAGGUGGAAUUGAUGUCGACAGAGAGAAUCUCUCAAAUCUUAUAUGCAAAACUUUGAAAGAAAGGUGUAAGCUUCGAAUUGCUGGUGACAUACAUCACUAUAUGCGCCACUCAAUGGUUGAACCGAAUGAUUCAGUUUAUGCACAACAUCUACUUGUAAAUGGUUGUGGCGGAGCAUUUUCCCAUCCCACCCAUGUAUUUGGUGGUUUUAAAGAAUCUCAUGGGGUUUCCUAUGAGUGCGGAGCUAGUUAUCCAGACAAACAAACGUCGUGGAAGCUUGGAUUUAAAAAUAUUGGGAAAUUUAAAAGGGAGAAUUGGAAGUUUGAUUAUGUUGCUGGCAUUAUCUACUAUAUGUUGGCCUUUUCUAUGUUCCCACAGUGUGAGCUUAAUCACAUCUUUGAAGUAGACUCCAAGUUGUUUUUCUUAAGGACUUGUUUCCGUACGUUGUGGAAUGCUUUUAUAGACAUGCUGGAACACUCUUACGUUUCUCUAGGAGCCGUUAUGCUGCUGCUACUUGUGGCAUAUAAAUUUGCACCCUCCAAAGUUUCAAGGACGAAAAGGUUAGCGAUGGCAAUUCUUCACGUUUCUGCGCACCUAGUUGCAGCUCUAAUUCUCAUGUUGGCGUUGGAAUUGGGUCUUGAGUUGUUUAUCCGCCAUAAACUAUCAGCAACUACAUCAGGUUAUGAACACUCUUUACAUGAUCACCAGCAAUAUUUCGAAUCCCCUGAAAUUUGUCACUUUCCUCCUCCAAAUGGCACAAGAGCAGGGAUAGAAAUGUUGUGGUUUUGCCAUCUUUAUCAUGGGUGUGCCGAGAUCAUCAUCAAUCUCAUGUCUCCAAUAUUUGAUGUGCCAAAGUUUAUGGCUGUCACGCGGAACAAUAUUUGCAAGAAUGGGAUGGCGUCUCUCUCUCGAUCGGAGACCGUUUCUUAUAAUGUUUCUGUCUUCCUUUAUUUCUGGCCCUUGACGACCUUUGUAAUUUCCUAUGUGAUUGGAUUCUACCUAUGCAUCUGCGUCAGCAUGUUUAACUUGCACUACGACGAAGCCUUCUCCGCUCUUAGGAUAUCUGAUUACAAGGGCUUCACAAGAUUUCACAUCAAACCUGACGGUGAUCUUGAAGUUUUCACCCUUACAGUUGACAAGGUGCCACAGGCCUGGAUGGAGGAUCCUGAUCGGCAGCAGGAGAAGAAUAUUGACCCAGAGCGGUCGAGCCAUAAAAGAUGGUUUCCCAGCAAAUGGAUGGCAGAUUAUCCGUACGAGGACCCGUUGGAAAGUGUGAAGAUUAUUGACCAGUUUGUCAUUGGAAGAGAGAAUAGGCCAGCAGCUAGUACCAAAUAGAAGAACCAACCUCAUAAUUAUGGUACAAUUACUUGUUCAGACUAUAAAUGAUGUCACGUCGAUCAGAGAUUCAAUCCCAGGUGACAUAUUUUGUAUUGGUGUGGCUCCAGCUUCCACCUUUGUCAGUCAGAUUCUAGCGUGAGAUCAUAUAGUAUGUACUUGAAGCGGUAGUCCUAUCUAUUUCCAUGGGCCAUGGCAUGCUAUCUCAGGCUGAAGCGAUGGGAUUCAGAAAUGAUUAGAACAAGGGAUUGAACCCUUAACGUGAACCGUAAAAAUAUAGUUCAUGUGAGGAGUCCGUAGCAUUGCCCAAUGAGAUUAUAUCACUGAGGAUAUCAGCUAUGUUUUGCUAAAGGAAUUAACUCUGUUUUUUGGACAAUAUAUAAUGAAAAAUGCUUUAGGCACAAA